rnacentral:lncRNA from 1 species
UUUAUUAUAUAUUUUCUUUUUUCUUCUUUCUUUUUUUUCUUUACCUGUUGAUCAGAUAGCGGAUUGGAUGAAGCGGCUCGGCGAUCUUUCCUCCUUUCAGCGUCUCAGCGAUCUCUCCUCCUUUCCGCGGCUCGGCGAUCUCUCAUCCUUUGAAUAUUAUCUCUCCUCUUUUUAUCGUAAUUGUCACGCCCCGGGACCGAUGCCAAUUUGGCCCGACCCGAGCACGUCAAACAGACGCCGAACGGACAGAGUUUCCUCUGUCCGCCCAAGGCUCAUCACAUGUACAUUUUCAUCAAUAGAGAAAAGCACUAGCGGAAACAUACACAAACGGCUUACACGAGGGUAAGCAAUAGCCAUUAGUGAAAGAAAGGAAAACUAAACAUUCAUUUGUACUAUGAUUCGUUUUUGAUCAUAUACAUUGCAUUCAUUUUGUUCAUUUUCGAAUUCCUUACAUGUCAUUUCAUCAUUUCUUUCUUACAUCACAUUUACCUCAAAAUACGCAUUACAUUCUUUUCUUUACAUCAUUAGUCAUCGAAUACAAAAGAUGAACAUAGGGUAGCUACUAACAAAAUGUAAACCCAACUCAACUCUGGUGGCCUCUGUCUAAGGCGCGAUACCUUUACCUCGGUCACUCGCCGGCUCGCUGGGUCCCGGCUCU